GUCUUCUCAUUGAGCUCCUUUCUGUCCACCAGUGGCAGUUUAUGGAUUCGCACGAGAAGAAGAGACAAUUCACAAAGCUAGCAUGCAUUUGCCUUCUGUCUUGGGGCACAUUUUGCUGUUUUGUGAGACAUGG